rnacentral:rRNA from 1 species
AAUUCAGUGAAUCAUCGAAUCUUUGAACGCACCUUGCGCCCCUCGGUAUUCCGAGGAGCAUGCCUGUUUGAGUGUCAU